AUUGAACGCUGGCGGCAGGCUUAACACAUGCAAGUCGAGCGAGUGGCGGACGGGUGAGUAAUGUCUGGGAAACUGCCUGAUGGAGGGGGAUCACUACUGGAAACGGUAGCUAAUACCGCAUACCAUCAGAUGUGCCCAGAUGGGAUUAGCUAGUAGGUGGUGUAAUGGCUCACCUAGGCGACGAUCCCUAGCUGGUCUGAGAGGAUGACCAGCCCCACUGGAACUGAGACACGGUCCAGACUCCUACGGGAGGCAGCAGUGGGGAAUAUUGCACAAGGGGGGCAAGCCUGAUGCAGCCAUGCGGCGUGUAUGAAGAAGGCCUUCGGGUUGUAAAGUACUUUCAGCGGGGAGGCGUUACCCGCAGAAGAAGCACCGGCUAACUCCGUGCCAGCAGCCGCGGUAAUAC
rnacentral:rRNA from 1 species